rnacentral:rRNA from 1 species
ACUCAAAGGAAUUGACGGGGGCCCGCACAAGCAGCGGAGCGUGUGGUUUAAUUCGAUGAUAAACGAAGAACCUUACCUAGGCUUGACAUGCAUUUGUAAGCCAGUGAAAGCUGGCCCCUCUUCGGAGCGGAUGCACAGAUGUUGCAUGGCUGUCGUCAGCUCGUGUCGUGAGAUGUUGGGUUAAGUCCCGCAACGAGCGCAACCCUUGUCGCUAGUUACUAUGUCUAGCGAGACUGCCCUUAAGAAAAGGGAGGAAGGUGGGGAUGACGUCAAGUCAGCACGGCUCUUACGUCUAGGGCUACACACACGCUACAAUGGCCGGUACAGAGGGUUGCCAAGGAGUAAUCCGGAGCUAAUCCCAAAAAGCCGGCCCCAGUUGGAAUUGUAGGCUGCAACCCGCCUGCAUGAACGUGGAGCUGCUAGUAACCGCAGGUCAGCAUACUGCGGUGAAUACGUUCCCGGGCCUUGCACACACCGCCCGU